AUUGAACGCUGGCGGCAGGCUUAACACAUGCAAGUCGAGCGGAGCGAGGGUGCUUGCACCUUAGCUUAGCGGCGGACGGGUGAGUAAUGCUUAGGAAUCUGCCUAUUAGUGGGGGACAACAUUCCGAAAGGAAUGCUAAUACCGCAUACGCCCUACGGGGGAAAGCAGGGGAUCUUCGGACCGUGCGCUAAUAGAUGAGCCUAAGUCGGAUUAGCUAGUUGGUGGGGUAAAGGCCUACCAAGGCGACGAUCUGUAGCGGGUCUGAGAGGAUGAGCCGACAGACUGGGACUGAGACAGGGCCCGGACUGCGACGGGAGGCAGCAGUGGGGAGUGUUGGAGAAGGGGCGGAAGCCUGAUCCAGCCAUGCCGCGUGUGUGAAGAAGGCCUUUUGGUUGUAAAGCACUUUAAGCGAGGAGGAGGCUACUUAGAUUAAUACUCUGGGAUAGUGGACGCUACUCGCAGAAUAAGCACCGGCUAACUCUGUGCCAGCAGCCGCCGUAA
rnacentral:rRNA from 1 species